rnacentral:lncRNA from 1 species
CUUAUUCCCUCUCUCUUCCAUCUCUAUCCUCUCCCUCUCUUCUUACAUGCGCAACGCCUUUUUCCUCAGCAGACUUCCCCUUCUACUUUUCUUCUUCCCCACAUUCCCUCUCUCUCAUGCUAGAAUUUCCCCUAGCAGAGCAGCCCACGUUUCUUUCCCUUCAGUCCACGCCAGUUUCCAUUUAUCCCCCUAGCUUGCACGUCCACAGCCAUCAACCCCCCUCGCGUUCUUCCCUCCUCUGGCUUUGGUUCUAUUCCUUUUUCUUUUGUUUUGUUGCCGCAAGCUAGCAAGCCCAGCAAAUCGUCCAGCCUUGUCCCUUCUUGCCGCACCUCCAUAGUUAGCAACCACCAAUGCCGAUGCUCCACAACUUCAGGUCACCACAAUUCCACCGAGCAGCCACCAUAGCCACGCGAACAGCCACCGCCAAGACUAACCAGCAGCAACCAGCAGCAAGCAGUGAGCUUGCAAGGUGGUUUUCCGCCCUUUCCGAGCUCCCGUUGGAGCCGCCGUUGCGCCGCCGUCACAGUGAACUUGUUAGCUGCUAAUCCAGUGAGUUAACUCCCUAAUCCUUGAUUAGGCUGUUAAUUGCAUUUAGGAGGUUAGAUUAGUGUUAAUUAGCUAAGUUAAAUUAGUACUAAGUGAGAUUAGCCUUAAGAUGGAUUAAUGCUAAUCUAAGAUGGUUAUAUUAGCCUUAAUAUUGAUUAGUGUUAAUCUAAUUGGUGAGAUUAGCACUAAUGAAGGCGGAUUAACCCAAUUUGCUGAAUUUCUCCUGGAUCUGGUUUCUGGACCCUUGCUGUUUUCCAUUUUUAUAGAUCGAAAUGGGUAGCGAAUUUGAGGUUGAUUUCUUCUUGAAAAAUGUUUUAGACAUCUUCAACUAUGACAUUUACUUUACUUAAAAUUUUUAGAGAUUUAAAAGUAUGAGAUUUCAGCUCCGUCAUUUGCAAAUAGAAUCUCGGACUGUGCUGAAAUUUGUGACCUUUUAGGAUUCUAGGGAUUUUUAUCAACUCUUAGGGUUCGAAUUACAAAAUGGUUUCUUCAUAAAAGUUGUUUGUUACAUCUUGUAGUUUAACAUAAUCAAAUUUCAGAUUAAACAGAUAAGUUUUGGGUCUCGAACCAAACUGAUUUCGAAAAAAGACUUUCCGGAAAUUGACACAGUUUUUUGUACUGGAUUGAGCGAUUUACUGGGCUUAAUAUAGAAAGAUCUGGGUUAAGGCGUUUGCAUGAAAAAUGUUUGUUUAUGUGUCAUUUACAACAUAUUCAACUUUGAGAAUUUUCUGAACUCGUUUGGUUAAGAUUCUGGAUUUAAAUCGGAGACGCGCAAGUGGACCAUUUUUACAAGUUAUGGCUAGUUAUGAUUUUGUGGUGUUAUUGGUGCAAUGCUUGUUGAUUUAUGCAUAUUUAAUGAUAUGGUUGGUUUGUGACAUACUUGGAACUUGUGCAUGAUGAUGGGUGAAUGGUUGUGCCAUGGCGAUGGUUUAUGGUCAUGGCAAAAGAUGGUUGUUGAAGGGCGAUAUUAUGUGAGGACUAUUGAAAGAUGAGGUGAUGUGCUAAGGCAAUCACAUGUGUUAUAUGGAGGAAAUUGAGUGGGUGGUGAGCCGGUAAAAAACUAAGUACUAUAUGAUAACGUAAUUUUGUGUGAGCCACAUCUAGAAUCUUGUAUUGUUGCUUAUUAUAGUCAAGGGCUAAGUGCUAUAUGGUGAACUGAGUCACAUGGGAGUCGCCUCUAGAACUUUGCACUAUUUUCUUGCAUAAUCGAGGGCUAAGUGCUACACGACAGCAUAAUUUUGUGGGAGCUACCUCUAGAACCUUAUACUAGUGUUGUAUGUGGAAAAUGACUAAGUGCUAGACGAUAACGAAAUUUCGUGUGAGUCGCCUCUAAAACCUUGAGCUAUCGCUCAUUGUGGUCAGGGACUAAGUGUUACACGAUAGCGUGACUUCCUGUGAUUCAUCUCUAGAACCUUGUACUAUUGCUGAUUAUGGUCAGAAACUAAGUGCCGCACGAUAACGAAACCUCGUGGAGGUCACCUCUAGAACUUUGAGUUAGAAUAUGGAGUUUGGAUAUUGAGAGUGAAUAUCGGGUGUGGAUUGAACCAUCGAUAUGAGUUACUCGUGCUUGAUUAUUAGACGAAAUUGUGUGGCACGGAAUGAGACAUGUCAUAACGAUUUGACCUUAUAAUCGGGACUUCUAUGAAUAUUUGAUGAGUGAAAUGAUGUGUUCCAAUUCUUGAAUGCAUUUGCUGUAUGCAUAAGUGUUUAUGAGGGGUACUAAUAUGCAGGAAAGUGUUGAGGCGAGGUAAGUCCUGAGUGGUGCAUGUUUAGGAUGCCUCUGAGUGAAUUCUCGUCCUAUUGGGGGUUAGAGUGUUGACUUACUAAGAUUUAUUCUCACCCCGUCGUGGUUUACAAUUUUUCAGGUCUCUAGAAUGGAGGAUCUGGAGUCCGAGGUGGAAGGGUCCGGAGUUUAGGUGGCCUGGUAGUUUGUUUUUAGACGAGACUCAUGUGUAUAGAUUGGUAGGAUCGACUUGCUAUGUUUAUAAAGUUUGGUUCGUGAAAAAUGGUUGUCCUGCUUUUACUAUCCCAUGUUUGUUGUUGUCAGGGGGUUUGUUUAAUUUGCUUCCACAUAUGCAUAAAAUAAAAAGGGUUGGCGGUG